CCACCGUGAACCGAAGGCAGACGCUCAACCGCAGACCCACCCAGAAGACCCAGAACUGGACAGAAGAUUUCCUUCCAGUGGAGUGGAGAAAAAACUGCAUAAACAACGGCAUACCACUCUUUGUAAGUAUUUGUGAUGGGCAGGCAUAUUCCCAGAUCAUUCACAGUGAGCUGGAGGAAGAGAGUCCCAAAGGCCUGAGCUGAUGUUUGCUGGAUACCUGGUAGCAUAUCUACUACUUCCUUUGUAGCCAUAUGAAUAUCUUUAUGUAAAGCCAUUCGUUGUUCAUUCCAGUUGUCAUAGGCAGCCUUAUAAUUCAGCCAAAACAGCACAGCUUUUUAUAAUUAAGGCAAGGUGGAAAGAAAAUUAAAAUCAAAGCUGUAAAGCUAUAAGGCAAGUAAAACUCAGGAGCUGCAAAGUCUGGUCAAUUAAUAAAAAUCAUUCCCAGCAGAAAAUUAUAGCAUUAGGAUUAGAAAGGAUCUAAGGGAAUAUAGUCAAUUUGACAAAUGAAAGCAGGCGACUGCAUAAUGGCAGAAAGAAGAAAAUAAUCCAGGUCCAUUUGUUCAUUUAAUAAAUUAUUUGUGAAAUGCUUAUUAUAUGCUAUGCACUAGGAUGCAAUAGAAAUGAAAUGAAAUGAAAUGAAAACAGAACAUGGUCCCUGACCUUGUAGAGCCUACUAUUACUACUGUUAAAAAAUUCUUGAAGGCGGGCAGCCGGGGUGGCUCAGUGGUUUAGCACCACCU